rnacentral:ncRNA from 1 species
GAACGCCGUAUGAUGGGAAACUAUCACGUACGGUGUGAAGCGGGGGAAAGGGAGUAAUCAUAACAGGUAAUGCUGAUGAAGAAACCUACCUAUCGCUAU